CAACCCUCAAGCAAUGCUCUUGGUAUUGAGCCCAUGUCAGCGAUGGCAGGCUCCAAAAACAGUGGCGGCGCCGCUGGGUCCUGAACGCAGUAAGAACACCUCUCGUUCCAGGUGCCCCGCGUGCUGCUGCCAAAAGGAAUUUCUAAGU
rnacentral:rRNA from 1 species